AGAGUUUGAUUAUGGCUCAGGAUAAACGCUGACAGAAUGCUUAACACAUGCAAGUCGAUGAUGAGCUAUAGCUUGCUAUAGUAAGUCAUGGCGGACGGGUGAGUAACGCGUAAAGAACUUACCUCAUAGACUGGGAUAACAGAGGGAAACUUCUGAUAAGACUGGAUAAGUUGGUUAUUAGCAUUAAUAACGAAUGAAAGGGGACACUAUGAGAGAGCUUUGCGUCCUAUUAGCUAGUUGGUGGGGUAAAGGCCUACCAAGGCGAUGAUAGGUAGCCGGCCUGAGAGGGUGGACGGCCACAAGGGGACUGAGAUACGGCCCUU
rnacentral:rRNA from 1 species